ACCGAACUUCGGAUUGACUUGGCGUAAUAGACUAUUCGCUGAGGAUUCUAGUUUACUAGAGCCGAGUUGGGUUAAAGGAAGCUCCUAAUCCUAAAGUCUAUUUUUUGAUUAGAUCUCAAAUCAGGUAGGACUACCCGCUGAACUUAAGCAUAUCAAUAAGCGGAGGAAAAGAAACUAACAAGGAUUCCCCUAGUAGCGGCGAGCGAAGCGGGAAGAGCUCAAAUUUAUAAUCUGGCACCUUCGGUGUCCGAGUUGUAAUCUCUAGAAGUGUUUUCCGCGUUGGACCGCACACAAGUCUGUUGGAAUACAGCGGCAUAGUGGUGAAACCCCCGUAUAUGGUGCGGACGCCCAGCGCUUUGUGAUACACUUUCAAUGAGUCGAGUUGUUUGGGAAUGCAGCUCAAAUUGGGUGGUAAAUUCCAUCUAAAGCUAAAUAUUGGCGAGAGACCGAUAGCGAACAAGUACCGUGAGGGAAAGAUGAAAAGCACUUUGGAAAGAGAGUUAACAGUACGUGAAAUUGUUGGAAGGGAAACGCUUGAAGUCAGACUUGCUUGCCGGAGCUUGCUUCGGUUUGCAGGCCAGCAUCAGUUUUCCGGGGUGGAUAAUGACGGUUUGAAGGUAGCAGUCUCGG
rnacentral:rRNA from 1 species